AUCCAUGGAUUUGAUAUAAAAUUUAGGAAUUAACAGUGACAUUUGGAUCCAAAUACAGUAAAUAAUAUUAUCAAAGUCUAAUAUGAGAGAAUCAGGUUAAUAUACUAAAGCUGAUCUUGUAGAUUUUUUUCAGAAGUGAAUGAUCUGAUAUAAUUUAUAACAGUUUAGCUAAGAUAUAUUUAAAAAUAAAUAAAUAAAUAAAAACAAUUCUAAUUUCAGUAAUUGUAUUUGCAACGGUCUUCAGGUAAAUGAUCUGGAGUGUGUUUGCAUAUUGAUCAGAUGCUUCAGUGCUCUGAGAGUGUUUAUAGUGCUGUGAGUUUAACACUUCAUCACUGACACACACAACAAUCUUCAUCAACAUGACCUUCAUCAUCAUCUUCAUCUGGACUCUCACAGCGUUUGCUCAAGAGUGUAGAGGACAGAUCACCGUCACUCAGAGUCCCUCAACGACAGCAGCUCGACCAGAAGAAACAGUCAAAAUCAACUGUAAAACCAGCACAGAUGUGGCUGAAUAUAGUGCACCACGUUACUAUUUAAGCUGGUACUUACAGAAACCUGGAGAAGCUCCUAAACUCCUGAUAUAUUGGACAAUAGACCGUUACACUGGAACUCCAUCUAGAUUCAGUGGCAGUGGAUCUAACAGUGAUUUCACUCUGACCAUCAGUGGAGUCCAGACUGAAGAUGCUGGACAUUAUUACUGUCAGAGUUUCCACAGCAGUGGUGGUUAUGUGUUCACACAGUGAUAAAGAGUCGUACAAAAACCUCCGUCAGUCAGAGUCACAGAGACUGAACUGAUCCUGCAGCUGCUCAAACACUAUCACUCACUACUGACACACAGAGACAAACACAGCAACUACACAUGAGCUCAGAACUGAGUUAGGAGUCAAAUCAGCUCCAUUAGACUGAGAUCUGUCCUGUGACAGACGGGUUUGACUCAACUAUGCUCUGAUUUUGAGCAAAAAACACACAACAAUUUUCUCGGUUCCAGUGUUGUAAUUUUUUAUUUUAUUUUUUUGUAGAUUUUACUACAAUCAUAAUGUAUCCCUGAUUAAA